rnacentral:misc_RNA from 1 species
CUUGGUCAUUUAGAGGAAGUAAAAGUCGUAACAAGGUUUCCGUAGGUGAACCUGCGGAAGGAUCAUUAGUGAAUUAAACAUGCUUGGUGUCUUCGCUUCGGCAAGGCCCUUGCUUAACUCACAUCCCAACACCUGUGAACUGUAAGGCGCAUGCCUGUUCGAGCGUCAUUAAGUCCACUUAAGCCUAGCUUAGUGUUGGGAGACUGCUCCAGUGGUGCUACCCUGUAGCUACCCUGCAGCUCCUUAAAGACAGCGGCGGAGUCGUGCUAUCCUCUGAGCUUAGUAAAUCAUUCUAGCUUUCGAGAGUAUCACUUCACCUGCCGUUAAACCACCUAAUUUUUAUGGUUGACCUCGGAUCAGGUAGGAAUACCCGCUGAACUUAAGCAUAUCAAUAAGCGGAGGA